AUGCGGCGAGCCCCUGUGGGCUACCGUGCACUAUAUGUAUAUGUUCCUGAAAGCGGAGGGCCGCCCGGUAUGGCUAAGCAAGUUUCUCAGGUUUCAGAAACGCUUGUGGUUGGAGAAAGGGAAGCAGAGAUAGCCUAUUCAUAUUGCCAUCCUCUUUGGGGCGUUCCCAGCCUCAUUUCCGGAUGUGUGUGUCUCAGGCCAGAAAGAGUACCCAGAACACGCGGCGAAGCCAGUACUUGCUUCCCACUGCUGCUCGACCUCAAAGGUCUCUUCCCGUCCAGAGAAGUUGCCGAGCAGAAAAAAAGGGACAACAUCGAGUGA
rnacentral:rRNA from 1 species